rnacentral:rRNA from 1 species
AGUCACUGACAUUAGAUACCCCCGUAGUCCUGGCCGUAAACGAUGUGGACUUGGUGUUGGAAUGGCUCCGAGCUGCUCCAGUGCCGAAGGGAAGCUGUUAAGUCCACCGCCUGGGAAGUACGGUCGCAAGACUGAAACUUAAAGGAAUUGGCGGGGAGCACCACAACGGGUGGAGCCUGCGGUUUAAUUGGACUCAACGCCGGGAAGCUCACCGGAUAAGACAGCGGAAUGAUUGCCGGGCUGAAGACUCUGCAUGACUAGCUG